rnacentral:rRNA from 1 species
GACAGAGGGUGCGAACGUUGCUCGGAAUUACUGGGCGUAAAGCGUGCGCAGGCGGUUUUGUAAGCCAGAUGUGAAAUCCCCGGGCUCAACCUGGGAAUGGCAUUUGGGACUGCAAGGCUUGAGUGCGGCAGAGGAGACUGGAAUUCCUGGUGUAGCAGUGAAAUGCGUAGAUAUCAGGAGGAAUACCGAUGGCGAAGGCAGGUCUCUGGGCUGACACUGACGCUCAUGCACGAAAGCGUGGGGAGCAAACAGG